rnacentral:lncRNA from 1 species
CUGGGAGCAGAGAGUACGGAUCACAGAACUAAAUCUGAGAGGUUAAGAAGAGAGAAAUUGUGGAGCAGACGAUAGACAGGCAGGAGGAGAAAGCGGAGAGUGUGGGUGGAAGAGGGCUGGGGUGGGGUAGUCCCCUGGAAAAACUUUUCCAGAAGCGGGCAGAACACGGAUCGACUGGUACCAGUGCACUUGCACCAGGAUGGGCUGUGGUUUAGUCUCUCAUGUUACCUUGAGUGAAGCCAGUAAAAGUGAAGUACCCGCACGUUGCAAAGAGCACACAGAUGAAUACAGAAACCAAGAUGGAUGUGUGGAUAAUCCGGCGCCACUUCGCUACUGUGGGCUCUUCGAGAGAACCAUAGACUAGGAAGCAGUUAUGGUGGCAAAUGAACGCUGGAACACAAAAGAAAACCUCAUUACUCGGGAAACAGCAGGACUGUGUUUUCUACUUUGAAAAGUGUUCAAAGGCAAAUAAGCAUCCACGAGCAUGGCACACUUCUAUUGCCACGUUUGAAUGAGACUCAGGAGAGUGUAUGGAGGUGGACAAGGAGCCCACUGGAGAGCACCGGAGGGGGAAGAGCAACUAAGGGCAAUUCUCGAGAUGAAAACUCAGCCUUCACGUUUGUUAUUCAUUGUCUGAAUGAAGAGGACACAAGCGAGUCCCAUUUGUUUUGUCCAACGUCUGUGGAGUUUGUGCAGUAUAUCAUCUUUCUAUAAAUGAACUGAGCAGCUCUCAGAGGGGGAAAACUGUCUUUCAGGAAAGCUAGCCUGAGCGGGAGGC